UACGUAGGGUGCAAGCGUUGUCCGGAAUCAUUGGGCGUAAAGAGCGUGCAGGCGGCUCGGUAAGUCCGCUGUGAAAGUCCAGGGCUCAACCCUGGAAUGCCGGUGGAAACUGGCGAGCUAGAGUCCGGAAGAGGCGAGUGGAAUUCCUGGUGUAGCGGUGAAAUGCGCAGAUAUCAGGAGGAACACCAAUGGCGAAGGCAGCUCGCUGGGACGGUACUGACGCUGAGACGCGAAAGCGUGGGGAGCAAACAGG
rnacentral:rRNA from 1 species